CGACGGGGGAACCCAAGUGCCACUCUUAACGGGGUGGCUUUUCUGAAGUGUAAAAAGCUUCAGGAAUAAGAGCUGGGCAAGACCGGUGCCAGCAGCCGCGGUAA
rnacentral:rRNA from 1 species